GACGGACGCUGGCGGCAUGCCUAACACAUGCAAGUCGAACGGUAAGGCUUCCUUCGGGAAGUACACGAGUGGCGAACGGGUGAGUAACACGUGGGUAACCUACCCUUGACUGGGGGACAACCGAGGGAAACUUCGGCUAAUACCGCAUAACGUGCAUUGCCUCAAGGUGGUGUACCAAAGCCCCGGCGGUUAAGGAUGGGCCCGCGGCAGAUUAGCUUGUUGGUGAGGUAACGGCUUACCAAGCCGACGAUCUGUAGCUGGUCUGAGAGGACGAGCAGCCACACUGGGGCUGAGACACGGCCCAGACUCCUACGGGAGGCAGCAGUGGGGAAUUUUGGACAAUGGGCGCAAGCCUGAUCCAGCCAUGCCGCGUGCAGGAUGAAGGCCUUCGGGUUGUAAACUGCUUUUGUACGGAACGAAAGGACUCUGGUUAAUACCUGGGGUCCAUGACGGUACCGUAAGAAUAAGCACCGGCUAACUACGUGCCAGCCGCCGCAGUAA
rnacentral:rRNA from 1 species